AAACGUUUUUAGCUUUGCAGCCGAGUACUAAUAAGCUAGUGGGUUGAUCUAGAGUUUUUUUAGAAUUUUGAUUGGCAUAUCCAAUUAGAUAAUAAGUGGUAGAUUGUAUAUUAAUGGUCACUGGCGUUAGUAUGGGUGUAUUUAAAACUGGAAUUGGCAGUUGUAAGCAAGAAAAGUUUGAGCUUUUUUCAUAGGUUGGUUUAAUAGUCCAACAUAAAUCAAAAACCGAAGUAGGUUGAUCAGCUUGAAUUAGUACAAUGUCGUUGCGAGGAAGAAGAACAAUUCUUCCUUCAGUUUUAGGAUAGCCAUUAACUAGCCCCCAGUUUAAAAGUGAAGACUUUGGUUGUUUAAUAGUUAACAGCUCAGUUCCCGGUUUCAUUGAGGAAACAAAUUUCAGGCUAAGCAUUAUGUUAAAGGAGCCGUUCCCAGGCUGAACUGACAAAAGAGCAGAAGCAAUCCAAACAUAAGUAGCACUCAAGGGUAGUGAGGGACUUUGGUAGAAUGGUAGUUUAUUAAUAAAGAAUUGGAAAGGAUACUUG